rnacentral:misc_RNA from 1 species
AAAAUAAUUUCUCAUCCACGCUGGAAGGAAACGCAGAUCAUGCAUCCUACAGCUCCCACCCACUGUUAGUAGUUGUUGAAAGAACCCGUUGAUACAGUGAUACAGUGUAGUGAAGAUGAUAGUGUAAGGGUCAGCGGGGGCGGGCGUAUGUUACUGAGACAAGUGGUGGCUGGCUUGUGUGUGUGUGUGUGUGUCAUGUGAGCGGCCGUGACAACAGGCCAGUUGAGAACCUGCAACGUUAUGUGACACGGAAAAACAAAACAAAAUUGAGGCUUUUAUGAUGAACAGAAACAAAAGUCGUGCUGUGUCAUUCCUCUCCACUGACGACUUCCUCCUCAUUAACAGCACAGCGGGCGUGGGAGCAGCAGAGGGCGUGUGGGCGUGGUCGGUGGGCGUGCGUCAUGAGGGCGGUGCCCGCAGCCUGCCCUGAGCCCGGUCAUGUCCUCCAGUACCCGGCACGGCCCUGACCCGGGCCCAGCACUCAUCCGCAUCAGCCCCACACGGAUACACACGCAGGUAACGCAGACGGUGAGGUACAGGCCCGUGAGGUCACUGCUUCUACUGGGUCUUCUCGUCAUCGUCUCUCUCUUCGUCCUCUUCACGCUCUCACAGAUGGCGGUGGUGCAGCACACUAUGAUGGCGCAGCUGGAUACAGGCCGGGUAGGUGGUACGGGCGUGGGUGGCGGGGGCGGUGGUGGGCGGGCGAGCAAAGUGUCUCACAAACCUUGGAGGAGUCAGUUUAAUCAGUUCAAGAUCGAACCUUUACUGAUCCGCAACGCACCAUCUGUCGAGGUCAACACGGCGCUGGCAGCCAAUCGCCGGCGUGCUAGUCAACUGGCUGCCAUCAUCGUCCGUAAUUCCCUCCUCGUCACGCACUCCGCCCACUAUAAUCACUCCACCCACUAUAAUCACUCCACCCACAUCACCGCCCAUUCUACUGGUGAUCACGCACCUCCGCCCUCCUCCUCCUCCCCCCACACCACACGGCCUCCACUCCUUGACCCUCACGCCCACACAACCACCACCCACGACACUCACGCCCACACAACCACCACCCACGACACUCACUCCUCCCAUAACCCAACACACACAACACCUGCUUCCAGUCACCCCACCCAAUCAGCUUCCAAGCCCCGUCUAAGGGUCGUUAUCCCGCCAACAAGAAGAGUAGUGUCCUCGAGUGUCCUGAAGAAGACUGGUGGUGGAGGAGAACCAACUACGGCAGAGAGAAAGAGAGUCAGAGAACCUCACACAACGAGUGGAGAGAAAGCAUCUCUCAGUACAGACACAGAGAGAGGCACUGUAGGUGACGGGAGGAGGAACAGUGCAGGUAGACGAGGCAGUGAUAGUGUUAUUAAGUUAAAAGACAGUAAUGACAGUGUGAGAAGACGUUUCCUUAGCAAGAUAACAUGUGACAGUGGUGACAGUGAGUGUGAUAACAGUGUCCGUGUUUCCCAGAGUGUUAUAUGGGACGCUACACAUCCCCGCCCGCCCGUACAUACUAGCAGCCACCCUGAUAAUAAUAACGACUUCAUCACACUCGUCGAGAGAACCCGCUCGGGCACGAAGGCCACGACACACGAGGCGGAACCGAAUAACAAACGAUUUAAAAUAAGUCACAUAAUACGAGAGGAAGAGCCCGACAGUGAUAAUAACAAAAUGGACAAUAAGACCUCUGAUGUGUUAGCGACAGAAUUUAGUGAAGCGGAGAAGGAUUUCGAGCCUCUGUACCUCCGAGAAGAUGACGACUACGACCUCAUAGAUAGUGAGGCCACCACCAUCUCGACCUCGCCUGUGGCUCAACAAGUCAAGUCGACCUCCAAGACGAAGAAGACCAGAGUGUCUCACCUCAACGAAGAACAGCUGAGAAAUUUGCCGCUGUGUCCUGAGAUCCCACCCGGCCUAUUGGGCCACCUGGACAUCGAUCUCGACCACCUAGAGAAGUUACAGUUGGAGGACGUGUUGUCUCAGCUCGACUGGGUGUCACCGGGCGGUAGAUGGAGCCCCGUACAGGAACCAGAGACCCCGUGUUUACCCCGUCACAAGGUCGCCGUCGUCCUGCCAUACAGAGACCGCCUCCACCACCUCAUCAUCCUCCUCAGCUGGCUUCACCCCAUCCUGAGGCGACAACAGCUCGAGUACACCAUCUACGUGGCCGAACAGGCGGGCAACGCGACCUUCAACAAGGGAUCCAUCAUGAACGCGGGGUUCAUGGAGGCGUGGCAGAGGAGCGAUGCCAACUGUUUUAUCUUCCACGACGUCGACCUUCUACCAGAGGACGACCGUAACAUGUACUCGUGUCCGCCCCAACCCAGACACCUCUCUGUAGGCGUGGACACCCUCGGCUACAAGCUGCCGUACUUCCUACUGGUGGGCGGUGUGCUAAGCGUCCGUGGUGACCAUUUCCUCCGACUCAACGGCUACUCCAACAUGUACUGGGGCUGGGGAGGCGAGGACGAUGAUAUGGGCUACAGGAUCAAGCAGUCUGGCCUCAGCAUCACCCGGCCCCCCAACAUGCUGGCCAGGUACACCAUGAUACGUCACCUCAAGCGUCGACCCCUCACCUGGAAGGUACGUGGUAAAUUGGUGCGUACAUCAGGCCGACGUUACAGACUGGACGGACUCAAUACCCUGCGUUACUCCCUCUUGGCCCUCCACCGCCACCCACUCUUCACACACCUACUCCUCGACGUGGGCACCCCGCCGGAGAACCUUGUCCGCCUCGACGCCCACUAAAUGUUGCUUUGUAUUGGUGUAAAAAGCUGCUUCUUUUCCUCAUCGUCGUCACGGUUGUGGACACUGUGUGUGUGUGUGCAUGUUUCCGUCGGGAUCAUUACUCGAAAGAUCAGUUGCCAAAUAAAUAUAAAUGGUAUAAUGAGUUACACACACACACACACACUAUCCUGAGGUCUUCAGUCCUCAGUUUGUGUAUAUUUAACAUAAAAUGUUCUAUCGUUCAAGCAGUAACUUCUUACACAGUCAACUGUGAGAGGGACCACCACGUCAUGUAUCAUACUAGAGGUCAUGACUACACCUCGCUCAUAGAUACAUGGACGGGCUUAUUGAACACACACACACACACACACACACACACGGGCAUCAUCUGUGUAACAAUAUUCGUCGAGUCUAAACAUGAUUUUAUACCAAAAACUUUACUAAGCAUAAUAUAACUUUAAGAGAACUUCGUGGCAAACUUCAUAUUUACAAGUCUGGCUAAAACAGACAUUUUAACAUGUACUGUAUGUGAAGGUGAUGUACUUAUUGAGUGUGUUUCAGGGGUCACCUGGCAACACUCUGAGGUGAGUGUUGGAAGGCUUCUACGCGCAAGUUGUGAACCCGUACGUCACUCCGCUGUUUUUAAAACUUUACGCUCAACUUAAUUUUUUUCCAUGGAUGUAUUAAAUAGAUAUUUUAACGUAAACCAGUUCAGUGCUAUACUUUAAGUAUAUUAUCUUUUAAUAAGUGAGACAGAUUGUGUGUGACAAUUUAACAGACUCAAGUAAUUUAGCAAUAAGUUUUAUGAACGAUCUCGCGUUAUUACUGAUCUCCUCUUGAACCAACAGUUUAUGUACCUUCCUCAGUAAACAUUGUAGACAACAUAAUAGUUAAUGACGAACUACAUAUCAGUGCACUCAAUCACAUGGUCUGGAGUUUUAUUUACCCAUGAAGUUCUUUGUAAUGUUUAGCAAUAAAUUUUUAAACGCA